AACGAACGCUGGCGGCAGGCCUAACACAUGCAAGUCGAGCGAGGACUUCGGUUCUAGCGGCGGACGGGUGAGUAACGCGUGGGAAUGUGCCCUUCUCUACGGAAUAGCCCUGGGAAACUGGGAGUAAUACCGUAUACGCCCUAUUGGGGAAAGAUUUAUCGGAGAAGGAUCAGCCCGCGUUGGAUUAGGUAGUUGGUGGGGUAAUGGCCUACUAAGCCGACGAUCCAUAGCUGGUUUGAGAGGAUGAUCAGCCACACUGGGACUGAGACACGGCCCAGACUCCUACGGGAGGCAGCAGUGGGGAAUCUUAGACAAUGGGGGCAACCCUGAUCUAGCCAUGCCGCGUGAGUGAUGAAGGCCUUAGGGUUGUAAAGCUCUUUCAGCUGGGAAGAUAAUGACGGUACCAGCAGAAGAAGCCCCGGCUAACUCCGUG
rnacentral:rRNA from 1 species